GAGCCGGAGGGAAACCGAGUCUUAAUUGGGCGUUAAGUUGCAGGGUAUAGACCCGAAACCCGGUGAUCUAGCCAUGGGCAGGUUGAAGGUUGGGUAACACUAACUGGAGGACCGAACCGACUAAUGUUGAAAAAUUAGCGGAUGACCUGUGGCUGGGGGUGAAAGGCCAAUCAAACCGGGAGAUAGCUGGUUCUCCCCGAAAGCUAUUUAGGUAGCGCCUCGUGAAUUCAUCUCCGGGGGUAGAGCACUGUUUCGGCUAGGGGGCCAUCCCGGCUUACCAACCCGAUGCAAACUGCGAAUACCGGAGAAUGUUAUCACGGGAGACACACGGCGGGUGCUAACGUCCGUCGUGAAGAGGGAAACAACCCAGACCGCCAGCUAAGGUCCCAAAGUCAUGGUUAAGUGGGAAACGAUGUGGGAAGGCCCAGACAGCCAGGAUGUUGGCUUAGAAGCAGCCAUCAUUUAAAGAAAGCGUAAUAGCUCACUGGUCGAGUCGGCCUGCGCGGAAGAUGUAACGGGGCUAAACCAU
rnacentral:rRNA from 5 species